AAGUCUAUAGGCUGGAUGCAAGAUGGACACCUUCUCCAUGGCCUCCUCAUCCAUCAUCUUGAAAGAGCCAUCUUCAGACAUAUGUUAAGAUUUCCAACAUAAUACUACUGAAUAACAUUGGUGACAGUGGCAUCCUUGUUUCACACCUGAUCUACUGGGAAGGCUUCUAGCUCAUCACCACUGAUUGUUUUAGAUAAAAGCUUUUUUAUCAAUUUAAAGAAAAAACUAUUUUACACCUAUAGUUUCAAGUGUUUUUAAUAGAAAUGAAUGUUGCACUUUAUCGAAAACUUUUUCUACAUCUAUUGAUGUAAACAUAUGAAUUGUUAGACUUUUAUUAUUGAUACAAUCAAUUGUGUUCAUAGUUUUCCUUACGUUAAACCACCCCUGAAUUCCCACUUGGUCAUACAUAAUGUAAAAUCUUUGGAUUAUAUUGUAAUCUUUUAUUUAGUAUUUUAUUUAGUAUUUUUGCAUCCAUGUUCAUUAAUGAAAUUGGUCUAUAAUUUUCUUUUUCUGUCUUUGCUCUCCCUGGUUUAGAUGUCAAUAUCAUAUUUGUUCAUAAAAGAAGUUUGGUAA